UACGUAGGCAGCGAGCGUUGUUCGGAGUUACUGGGCGUAAAGAGUGCGUAGGCGGUUUUCUAAGUUUGGUGUGAAAUCUCCCGGCUUAACUGGGAGGGUGCGCCGAAAACUGGAAGGCUUGAGUAUGGGAGAGGUAAGCGGAAUUCCUGGUGUAGCGGUGAAAUGCGUAGAUAUCAGGAGGAACACCGGUGGCGAAGGCGGUUCUCUGGGCAUGACCUGACGCUGAGGAGCGAAAGUGUGGGGAGCGAACAGG
rnacentral:rRNA from 1 species